rnacentral:rRNA from 1 species
AGCAGCCGCGGUAAUUCCAGCUCCAAUAGCGUAUAUUAAAGUUGUUGCAGUUAAAAAGCUCGUAGUUGAAUUUCGGGAUUGACGUGACGGUCAUGCCUUAAGGGGUAUGAACUGUUACAGUUGAUUUCUCACCUUCUGGAGAAACUUGAUGUCCUUUAUUGGGUGUCUUGCGGAUCCAGGACCUUUACCUUGAAAAAAUUAGAGUGUUUAAAGCAGGCAUUUUUGCUCGAAUACAUUAGCAUGGAAUAAUAGAAUAGGACGGCAUGGUUCUAUUUUGUUGGUUUCUAGGAUCACCGUAAUGAUUAAUAGGGAUAGUUGAGGGCAUUAGUAUUCAAUUGUCAGAGGUGAAAUUCUUGGAUUUAUUGAAGACUAACUACUGCGAAAGCAUUUGCCAAGGAUGUUUUCAUUAAUCAAGAACGAAAGUUAGGGGAUCGAAGACGAUCAGAUACCGUCGUAGUCUUAACCAUAAACUAUAGCCGACUAGGAAUCAGACGAUGUAAUUUUUUAAUGACUCGUUUGG